rnacentral:rRNA from 1 species
UACGUAGGGGGCAAGCGUUGUCCGGAAUCAUUGGGCGUAAAGCGCGUGUAGGCGGUCCGGUAAGUCCGCUGUGAAAGUCAAGGGCUCAACCCUUGAAUGCCGGUUGAUACUGUCGGGCUAGAGUCCGGAAGAGGCGAGUGGAAUUCCCGGUGUAGCGGUGAAAUGCGCAGAUAUCGGGAGGAACACCAAUGGCGAAAGCGACUUCCUGGACCAGUACCGACGUCAGGCACGAAAGCGUGGGGAGCAAACAGG